GACGAACGCUGGCGGCGUGGAUUAGGCAUGCAAGUCGGACGGUAGGGCUUUAUCGUAAGAUAGAGUUUGAGAGUGGCGAACGGGUGAGUAACACGUAGGAAUCUACCCUUAAGACGGGGGACAACCCAGGGAAACUUGGGCUAAUACCGGAUGAGAGUGCGAGAGAUUGCAUUUAAAAGGAUGGCGAAAGUUGUCGCUUAGGGAUGAGCCUGCGGUCUAUUAGUUAGUUGGUGAGGUAAGAGCUCACCAAGGCGAUGAUAGAUAGGCGGCUUAACGGGUGGUCGCCCACACUUGGGAUUGAGAUACGGCCCAGACUCCUACGGGAGGCAGCAGUCGAGAAUAGUCUACAAUGGCCGGAAAGGCUUGAUAGUGCGACGCCGCGUGAAACGAGGGAGCCCUUCGGGGUGUAAAGUUCUUUUCUAUACGAGCAGUGCUAUAUAUAUGGAUAGUAUAUAUAGAGGGAUAGUAGUAUAGGAAUAAGAACGGCUAAUCCGUGCCAGCAGCCG
rnacentral:rRNA from 1 species